AUGAACGCUGGCGGCGUGCCUAAUACAUGCAAGUCGAGCGAACAGAUGAGGAGCUUGCUCCUCUGACGUUAGCGGCGGACGGGUGAGUAACACGUGGAUAACCUACCUAUAAGACUGGGAUAACUUCGGGAAACCGGAGCUAAUACCGGAUAAUAUAUUGAACCGCAUGGUUCAAUAGUGAAAGACGGCUUUGCUGUCACUUAUAGAUGGAUCCGCGCCGCAUUAGCUAGUUGGUAAGGUAACGGCUUACCAAGGCAACGAUGCGUAGCCGACCUGAGAGGGUGAUCGGCCACACUGGAACUGAGACACGGUCCAGACUCCUACGGGAGGCAGCAGUAGGGAAUCUUCCGCAAUGGGCGAAAGCCUGACGGAGCAACGCCGCGUGAGUGAUGAAGGUCUUCGGAUCGUAAAACUCUGUUAUUAGGGAAGAACAAAUGUGUAAGUAACUAUGCACGUCUUGACGGUACCUAAUCAGAAAGCCACGGCUAACUACGUG
rnacentral:rRNA from 1 species